rnacentral:rRNA from 1 species
AUACGGAGGAUCCGAGCGUUAUCCGGAUUUAUUGGGUUUAAAGGGUGCGUAGGCGGACGAUUAAGUCAGCUGUGAAAUGCCCGCGCUUAACGCGGGAAGUGCAGUUGAUACUGGUUGUCUGGAGUGCCGUUGACGUGGGGGGAAUGUGUAGUGUAGCGGUGAAAUGCAUAGAUAUUAGACAGAACGCCGAUUGUGAAGACACCUCACGAAGCGGUAACUGACGCUGAGGCACGAAAGCGUGGGGAUCGAACAGGAUUAGAUACCCUGGUAGUCCGCACAGUAAACGAUGAAUACUUGUUUUCGGCGAUAUAAUGUCGGAGGCAAAGCGAAAGCGAUAAGUAUUCCACCUGGGGAGUACGCCGGCAACGGUGAAACUCAAAUGAAUUGGCGGGG